rnacentral:rRNA from 1 species
CCUACGGGAGGCAGCAGUGAGGAAUAUUGGUCAAUGGACGCAAGUCUGAACCAGCCAUGCCGCGUGCAGGAAGACGGCUCUAUGAGUUGUAAACUGCUUUUGUACGAGGGUAAACGCAGAUACGCGUAUCUGUCUGAAAGUAUCUUACGAAUAAGGAUCGGCUAACUCCGUGCCAGCAGCCGCGGUAAUACGGAGGAUUCAAGCGUUAUCCGGAUUUAUUGGGUUUAACGGGUGCGUAGGCGGUCGGAUAAGUUAGAGGUGAAAUCCCGAGGCUCAACUUCGGAAUUGCCUCUGAUACUGUUCGGCGAGAGAGUAGUUGCGGUAGGAGGAAUGUAUGGUGUAGCGGUGAAAUGCUUAGAGAUCAUACAGAACACCGAUUGCGAAGGCAGCUUACCAAGCUACUUCUGACGUUGAGGCACGAAAGCGUGGGGAGCAAACAGGAUUAGAUACCCUGGUAGUC